AAAACAACAAUGUACAUAUUGUUAUAAUAGUGCCUGCGUCCGCGAACAGUACUCGCAUGUGGACAUUAUUCCUCACUUGUAAAAUCCUUCCCUUUCAAGUAUAUUUUCACUUCUCUUAACAAUCUUCUAAAUCAUGUUAAGUCAAUAAUUAAUCAAGAAAGGACUAAUUAGGCAAAUGAGCAAGCUUCUUAUAAUUAUUUAUGAAUAAAUACGAUUGCUCUUUUGCAUCAUCACUCAUAUCAUGUGAAAAAGAAACGGGAAAGAAAACACAGGAUAGGAAAGCAAGGGGAUUCCUGUGAACUGUGAUGAAUUAAUAGAAAAAGUCGAUAUAUCAGGAAGCAAUCUCACUGAAAAUGCCAUUAAGCUUUCUUUCCAGGACUUCAGAGCAAAUCUGGCCCAUCAUGUGG
rnacentral:misc_RNA from 1 species